UAAGGUAGAGGCGCGAUUUUUAUUAGUAAUAAUAAGGAGUAAAGCAACGUUGAAUUAUUGUGAAAGGAAACAUCGCCGAAGUGUAUAACUGAAGCUUUAAAGUUAUUUCGCUGGGGGUAUGUAGAACAUAUAUGCCACUGUCACUAAGAAAUUAGUGUUGAGCUAUCA
rnacentral:ncRNA from 1 species